CUUUCACAAAGUUGUUGCAAAACCCAGCCGGUAUUGGUGCAAAGAACAGUCAACAUUAGUUCACUUCAGUCGGUAUUGAAUGCAAUUUACAACCAAUGCCGACUAACACAGUCGGUAUUAUAUUCACCAAACAAAUCAAUACCGAAUGUUACAGUCGGUAUUGUCUUCAAACUCACACCAAUACCGACUGCUCAUCAGUUAACCUAAUGUUUGUUUUAAAACCUACAAAGUUCGAUCAAAGCACUAUGAAAACACUAUGAAAAUGGAUGUGAAUCACUCACGUUCCCACAAAAUCCAUUUGAUUGAGUUCUUGAUUGUCGAAAUUCUCUUCCUCUUCCUAAUUUUAACACUAUGAGGAGCAGUCGACAAUUAUGAAGGGAGAUACUUUUAAGCUUUAAUUUAGUCCCAUGAGAGUAUCCCCCAAUUGUGGAUUCUUUCUUUCUUUCUUUUUCAUUUAGUUUAUUUGUUUCUGCAAUUUUAUAAUGAUUUUUUGUAAAUUUUUGGGUAAUUAAAUUAGUUUUUUGUUGAUUGGUUAACAACCUGGGGAAAACGUCAUAUAAAUUGAGUUUCUAUGUUCUGAAUGAAUUUCUGCAGGUUCCUUCUCAUGAGUUGAUGAGCUUUGUUGUUUGUUCUUAGGGUAUGGAUGUUCUUAGGGUACUACUACAGAAGACUCCCAAAUUUUGGGUCUCUUCGCUCUUUCGCCUAAUAGUUUCAUUGUUAUUCUCUUCAUCAGUAUUUCUAGGCUUUUUCUUUGUUGGAACUGAUUGAGCAGUUUUGGUCCGUUAAAAUCUGUAGGUGAUGCAAUCAAGAAAGUGCGAGUUGGGGGUAUUCUGGAUUUAGCAAACAACAAUCCAAAGGUUUUGUCGAUGAUCAUAUCUUUUCCAGCUUCUCUUGACUUCGUCAGAAGCAGUACUAUCUGCUCUACCCUUUGAAUUACUUGUUGAAGUCCAGGUUCCAAGAGAAAGAACAAUGAAACACUAUCAGGACCACAGCUUGAUAGUGGGAAGUACCCAAGAGAGGAAGCUGGGGAGUACUUGGAAGUAAACUAAAAGUGGGUGCACUUGAGAAUAUGUAUAUUCUGUUGAAUGUAUUAAUUAUUGUAGUCCCUUAGUGUGUGAAAGAAACAUUAUCCGACACCAUGUUCCUUUUUUUUUUUUAGUCUAUGUGAUCUAAUCGUUUUCUUCUGCAUGAUACUUUCAGUUACAAUAUUUAGUGGAUAGUCUAAAUUCAUCAGAAAUAAUGUUGAGGUUCUCUCAAGAUGCCAAGGAAGAUGAAUCAUGUAUGUACUUGCUCACUUAACUUUUGCUUGAUGCUCAUACCCUGAAGGUUAUAGGCAAAAAACCAUUCCAUAAGCAUUUACUUCUUAUGCAACAUCUCCUAUAUUACUACGGCAGUCAACUGGCAGUUCGUGAAAGGGAACUUUCUAGGGAGAAAAGGAAGAUUCGGAAAGAAAAGCUCGAUGCUAAGAGGGCAUUACAACAUCGGUUGCUAUUUGAUGAAGCGAUAUCAUUGGAAUCAAGUCCCGACGACAACUCAGAUGAGGAUGAGAUGCCUCGGUUUACAGACGUGGAGGAUGAAUAUCAAUAGGAGGAUCGUGAGGAAUAUCAAACACAGACAGUGAAGGAGACAAUGACUUCAAGGAUAUAUGGUUAUGCAGUCCUAAGGAAGUGACUGAAGAGAGCACUUAAAAUUCAACCACUACCUUGCCAAAGAGUUUAGUGAGGGCAAGCCAUGUCCUUGAGUCAUUUCACUGCUGAAGGCGAUGUCGAGUUCAAGGCUGUGUGUGAGUUAGUCUUUUCAUUUUGUUCCUCCAAAAGCUAUCCCAGGAUCUGUACGCGAGUUAGUAGAAUGCUAACAAGUUCAACUUGAAGUUAUUUCAGGCAUGUUUUCAUCUCAGAUGAAUUUGAUUAUCCUUUUCACAAGUACCUAGACUUUUUGAUGGGCCUUGAGGGUAUGGCUGUGUAUGAGCUUCUUAAAUUGUUUGUGUGAUAAGUGAAUGAGUAGUCUAACCUGGGAAUUAAGAUUCAUAUAUGAACUUAAUGCUGUGGUGGUUAUAGGUAGUAAUUGUUUACAACUUCUUCAGAUCGGUAAUUUUAUUUUGUAUAUGUUAUUAAAAUUUAUAUAGUUCAUACUUCCAGUUUGGAGAACAGUACUUGCAGAUACCAUCCUUUUUUAAGCUCAGUCUACAUAUACCUAGCCCGUGCUGCUUUUCGGUAUUCAGUUGUUUGUUGAUCAGGGCUUUUAUGUUAAAUUUCAUUGGUAUAAUGGUUUCCUCUCCACUGUUUUUAUCCCUUCGUUAGUCAGUUAUUUGUUUAUUUCAUUUGAGAGCAGAUACAAGGGAAGAUUGCGCGUCAUGGACGGAAGGAAGCAUUACAUACGGUGAAACAUAACUAUCUACGUGGAUUUUUUUUAAUGCUCUUCUUUCUUCCUAUGAAGUUCUGAGUUUAGUAUUUUUGUCCUUGGUAGGCAUAUGCCAACCCUAUGAUUGAAGUUCUGAGACUGUAAAAUUUAUGAAGUAAAUUCUGAAACAAAUAAAUAUUCUGACAAUAUUUUUCCCUAAAAUUCUUGGAGUUUCAUUAUACGAACACAAUCCGGAAACCUUCUCCACCGUCCCUCUUUUAUAGGCUUAUACAUAUUUGAAGAACUCUAUGCACAGAUGUAGAACCUACUAUUUUUUUGAGGUAGGUGGCUCUCUAGGUGGUGCUGGACUGUCGAUUUGGUGGGCUACACUCCCCGAUGUUUUUGUUGAUUCUUUGAUUGCAUCUGCUUUCUACAUUUUUUUAGUGUGAUUUUUCGGUUUUGCUUGGCAGGUCCUUAUUUCACAUUAAUUGUUUUUGUGCUCUUACUUUGGUUGGCACGAGUAAAAUUUACAUCUCCUCUACUAUUUCCUUCCAUCCGUAGUGAGCUUCGAUGUACUUGCAUGUCAAUUGGUGUUAUAUCUGAACUUGCAAAAUUAAGAGAAAGCAAAAGUAAUUUCAUGUAUUAUGUACAGUAUCUAUAAAAUCUUACUACACGGUUUUCUCAGGUAUUUUUUUUUCUUAUGAUUUUUCUAGGUUUAUACAGAGCGGUUAAUAUAAUUUCUUGGUUUUGUUUUGCAGGAGCUUUGUUGUAUCAGUGUAUUAGUCAGUAUUAUAGUAUUAUGUUUGGGGUUGCGAAUUUUUCUUCCCUAUGGGUGGUCACAGGCUGGUUUCGGGUGAUGCCAGUUUCACGGUGGAUUAAUGUAAGCAGGGAAACUCAGUCAAGAUCACGCCCUAAUCCUAGACUUAUACAAAUCCAUGUCUUCUAGCCCAUCGCCAGUGGAUUGAUAAAGUAUGGAAUUACAAUCUGAUCAUAUGUUAUGGGCUUUAGGACAUGUGGGUGUGCAUAGAUCUGCCAUUUAUUCAUGAAAUUAUUGACAUCUAGGCACCACGGAUACAUUCAGAUCUUGCAAAUAAUUGGAAAAGAGAAUGGUUCCUCGGUUUACUCACCCGAGUGAACUGCUUGCCGUGAUACUCACCUAAGAGUUGGUGUAAGUUAACGCCGAAAUUGGAUCACUGAACGGGAACCAAGAACUUUUGCCGUGGAUUAUUCGGAUCUCUGUAUGUUGUGUUCUCAUGGCAAUGGCUUUUUUGUGUAUUGUUUGUUUUGGCAUAAUUCCAGAGUAUAUGGAUUAUUUAUGUGAUUAGUUCAUUUGUCUAGGGUUUUGUUUAUUUGUUUGUGUGGCAGAGGAGACAACCUAUCUUCCGUAUUAAUUGGUAUUGCGUCUGCAUUCGCCAAACUUGAGAAGGGAAGGGCCUGACGGGAAAAUCCAGCAAGGGAAGACAGUCACUCACUAAAUCCAGUCAAGAUCACGAGUGUGUUUCCAAGAGUUGGUGGUGGAACUUGCUAUGUACUAAUGGUGGUACGAAACAAAUAUAGCCCAGCUAUGCGUGAUUGUCUGCAUCCAGGUGCAUAGUGAUGUUAAUGGUAUUAGCUGAAUUUGUUUUGGAUGGCCAUUCGAAUGUAACAAAUUUUGCCAAGCUCCGUGUACUGCUCAAAGUCGUUACUGCGGUGAGAUUCACUGAAUCAACCAAGGAACUAUUUAUCCUGGAAACUACAGCGUGGUGUGAUCGCCAGAUGAGACAGGAUACUGUUAAUAUUUCUCUGAACUGAAGGUCUGUUAAUCCAGAUCAGGCUAGACUUUCACGGAACGGUUGAUUUAAAUUCACCCGGGUUUAAAUCAGACAGUUUCUUAAUUUGUUGGUUUUGUCUUGCAACAAUGCUGAUUUUACGUCGAUAGAUUUACCCAUCUUUUGGUAGGCUAGGAGAAGAAGUUAUGUAUAAGUUGCUGAUCAGUUUUUUGUUCAGAGAGAUUUACCCAAAUGCCAUAUAUUUGUUAUACGUUUCCCAACUAUGAGAUCAAUAUCAAUUGUGCUUUUUGUUCUACGUUCUACAUUUGGAAGAAAACAACUGGACAAUCAGAGGAGAGAGGAGUAUGGUUCUUUCUUUGCUUGGCUUCUGUGCGAUUAACUAUGCUAUUCCUGUCCUGGCCAUCAACGA